UGUACCUACGGGGGGAAGCAGUGGGGAAUAUUGCACAAUGGGGGAAACCCUGAUGCAGCAACGCCGCGUGAGUGAAGAAGUAUUUCGGUAUGUAAAGCUCUAACAGCAGGGAAGAAGAAAGACGGUACCUGACUAAGAAGCCCCGGCUAACUACGUGCCAGCAGCCGCGGUAAUACGUAGGGAGCAAGCGUUAUCCGGAUUUAUUGGGUGUAAAGGGUGCGUGGACGGGAAAUUAAGUUAGUUGUGAAAUCCCUCGGCUCAACUGAGGAACUGCAACUAAAACUGAUUUUCUUGAGUGCAGGAGG
rnacentral:rRNA from 1 species